rnacentral:lncRNA from 1 species
CCCUCUCCGGCGACAGGGUAACACCAUUGGCAUCCCCGACGAGCCGCCGGUAGCUACAGGUAAGUACCCCCUCUCUCUCUCCUCGGAACCGUCAACAGUGGUCUUUCACAGUGGUCUUUCUUCGACACCUCCUUCACCACCGAGACAUACACCGUCAGGCGCACAACCCCUGCGAGUUUCGUCGCCGGAAGCUGCCUCACGCGCCGCCUACGACCGCCCACGCGCCGCGCGCGUGAGCACUGUUCCGGGAAUUUUUUCGGCUGGCUCCUUUUGGACAGUAUUUCCCCCCCUCAAUUCCGACCAACUCGGUACUUCCGGAAUAUUCACCUGCUCACUUUCAUUGUUUCUCGUGUUGUUUUCUUUUUAUUUUCAUUUUCUCUGUUUUCCUUUUGCUUGUGUUUUCAUUUCCUCUGUUUUUAAUUUGUUUGUAUAUGAAUUUUCUUUUUUUGCUGCUGUUUCUCUUAUUUGUUCUUCCUAUUUGCCGCAUGUGUUUCUUAAAAUUAU